UCACACAAAAAGAUCAUCCAA
rnacentral:piRNA from 1 species